UGCAAACAUGAUGGCUGGAUCCCCAGAAGCUACUUUGGAGAAGAGGUGACUUGUGUGAUGGAGACCCAAGAUGGCAGAGCUCAAGAGAAAAGAAUCCUGGGGAUGACAGAUGUUGAGGAUAGUCAUCAGUCACAGACACAUUCUACCUCUGAGCUUGCAGUGCAACAUGAAGGCCCUGGCCAGAUGCUGUCCUAUGCCCUUGGACUUCCCAAGCCUCCAGAGGUGUGAACUAAAUCAAUUUCUUUCCUUUCACACUUAUUGUUUCACCGGCCCUUGUUGUGGUUGAACUAUUCCCCCAAGAAGUGAUGUUGAAGUGAAGCUCUGUGGAGAUCAUGCUGUGGACAGAGUACAACAGCCACCAGAGGGAUGCUGGAGAAGCCAAGUGCAUACAGUGAAAAGGGUGUGGUUCAGGUGACAGAAAGCCUCCUCCAAGUCUGUCUUUGCCAUGGGCCACCUGGCAACAUUGUGGCCUGGUGAGCUCCACCUGCUGACCCAGCCUUGGAUGAAACAUCCUCACAUGCUGAAGGAACUUCUCCGCCGGAUACUGGGGCUUGGGAACUAUGCUCCCAGAUCAACAUCCUCCAGCCUCCAGCCUCCAGGCAUUUCCAAAGUGGAACCAGCCCCUUUGAGGGAUUUGCUGAAAGAACAGCAGGGUACCUUCCUGAUCUGAAAAGUGGGAAGGAGAGGGCUUUAACUUAAGAAGCCUCAUAAGUGCUUCUCUUGAAGGGCAGAUUCCUCCAAUAACCUAACAUGCUAAUCCUUCCUAUUGCCACCAUCACCAACAACCUGUGACUCUCAGCAACGUAGCUUAUCUCCUUAGGCCACUUCAGGGUUCCAAAUAACAUAGCAACUUGAAGGUGUCCUGUAUGUGGCCUCAUUUCUUCCAAGUUAUAAACAAAACCUUUCUGUCUUCAUCCAUUUUGUGCUGCAAUAACCAAACACUUGAGACUGGGUAAUUUAAAAAGAACAAACACUUAUUUUUUACUUCCGCAUGCUGGGAAGUUAAAGGUCAAGGGGCCCACAUCUGACAAGGGCCUUCCUGCUGCAUCUUCCCAUUGUGUAAGGUAGACAGGUAAGAGAACAGAGAACAUGCCCCAGUGAAAGAGGAAGGAGGCCAGCCAAGCUCAUCCUUAUAUCAAGAAGCCACUCUUGGGGCUGGGGAUGUGGCUCAACCGGUAGUGUGCUCGCCUGGCAUGCGUGCGGCCCGGGUUCGAUCCUCAGCACCACAUACAAACAAAGAUGUUGUGUCUGCCAAGAACUAAAAAUAAAUAUUAAAAUUCUCUCUCUCUCUCUCUCUUAAAAAAAAAAAAAAAGAAGCCACUCUCUUGGUAACUAACUCCUCCCCUGAUUAAGCCAUUCUCCAGGGAAGAGCCUUUGUGACCCAUCACCUCUUAAAUAGGUCCCAUCUCUCAACACUGUUACUUGAAGAUUAAGUUGCCAACACAUGAAUUUGGAGGACAGCUUCAAACCAUAGCACCCUUUGAUGAUAGCACCCUUUGAUGACUAGGAAAAAUCAGUGAGCUUUAAAAAACAGUAUAACACAAACCCAGCACUUGAAUCUUAAAGAACCUCAGCAGAGAAACUAGGUCCAGUG